rnacentral:rRNA from 1 species
GGUUGCCUACGGGGCGCAGCAGUGGGGGAUAUUGCACAAUGGGGGGAACCCUGAUGCAGCGACGCCGCGUGGGUGAAGGAGCGUUUCGGCGCGUAAAGCCCUAUCGGCAGGGAAGAAGGAGGACGGUACCUGACUAAGAAGCCCCGGCUAACUACGUGCCAGCAGCCGCGGUAAUACGUAGGGGGCAAGCGUUAUCCGGAUUUUCUGGGUGUAAAGGGGGCGCAGACGGCAGCGCAAGCCAGGAGUGAAAGCCCGCGGCCCAACCCCGGGACUGCUCUUGGCACUGCGCGGCUG